rnacentral:lncRNA from 1 species
AUGAGAACUCUGGCUGCUAGCCAGCCUAAUUUUAGCGAGAAAUGGCUUUAUUACAAUAAGUUAAUUUUGCUUUCUUCUUUUUUUUUAUCCUUUUUUUAUUUUUCGAGCGCGUUCUCACAUUACCUACAGCACUUCUGGAAGGAGUUACCAACUCGGAGCGCUGAGCGCCGGCACCGCAGCUCCUCGGAAACCCACCAAACCCCGGACUCCCAGGAAAUUUACGGAAUUUCCCCGCUGCUGACCCCAUCUUCCAACCCCCCCGAAGCAGCAGCAAAGCCCAGCACCCUGCCAAAGCCUCGAGCAAACAAAGAGCCCAGCACCUGCAGCGGGCUGAGGGGAGGAACCUUCCUGUGCUCCACAGGCAUGCCUGUGGCUGGGGAUGAAAGAAAGCCAGCAAGACGCAUCAAAAUGUCCCCCACUUGCAGCAGCCUGAAUGGGAGCACAGUGCAGACAGAUGUCCCUUAUAGCUGAACCGCCCGUGUCACCAGCCCCAGCAUCUUCCACGUCCUACACAGCGUGGGUCCAGCUGAGCCGAAGGCUGGCUGCAUCUGGGGAGCUGCUCUUCCCCUCCUCACGUGGCUGCAGCACGGAUCUGUCUCAGCCUUGAGAACCCACUGGCUGCCUCGCCGCCCUGGAAUUAAUUUUGGCUAAUGCGCCGCGUGAUGGGAAGCCACGUUUGCAGCCUCUCUGCUAGACGGGAGCGAGCAGAGAUCGAUAGCAUCCUCCGCCCCUGGCUAAGCGGACUGGGAGCAGAGCUGUGCUGAAGGGACACCCGGCCUCGGCUCUGUAGGGAUGAGAGAUGAAAUAUUUAACGCCUCGCGGCUCCUGCAGCUGUCAGCGUGGGGAAGGGGGAGCAGGAGCAGAGAGGGAAGGGGUGGAAUUGCCUUCUGGGCACAGCACCGGCUCCGCAACCCCUGUGCAAGUGGGAUGAGGAGUUUUUGUGAGGGCAGCUUCCAAACGGCAUCCUCAAAAUAACUUGGUUUCAUGAAGGGAACGGUCUCCAGCACAGGAAGCCUGUUUGCAGCCGUGGUUUCAAGCUGGUAGCUACAGACUGACGCGUGGCCACUGAGUAGUUCAGAUUAGCUAAUGAACAGCUGCUCGUUUUAUUUGCUUUUGAGCAAUAAAAUUUAGUUGAGACUCAGAAAUGAGUCUCAAUGAAAGGAGCCCCAGGGCAGAGCCUGGAAACACAGCCCAACAUCCUACUGUGUGUACACUGCAAGCCAGGAGCUCUGCAGGAGCCUGCCCUGAAACCGGGGCUGGCAAAUCCCCAUUUUGUAUCCCAAUCCACAGAAGAGGACACUUUUAGGGCAGCCAGUGUGCCUUCCCUCCUCGCUGUGACCCCAUCCAGCAUGGGCAGCGACACGUGGAGAACUACAGGAGACUGCAAAACCCCAUCAGCACGGGGAUGGAAGCUGCACCACCACAGCACAGCUCAGAACCGGCCCAGGAGGAGGUUUUAAACACAGGCAAGCAAACUGCUUGAAAUAAAACCACCCAGCCCACCACGGCUGCUGCACCGUGCCAUGGGAACGAUGCUGUGCAUACGAUCAGAUUUAGGGCGCAAGCAGCCUGAGGGUCUUUUUACAUUUGGCUUGAAAAGGCUAAAAAUAGCACCCAAAUCACACUUUUUUUUUUUUCUUCUUUGCUUUGCCACCUCCUCCCCCUGUCCCUGUUCCAUGCAAAGCAGGAUUUGGGAUCCGAGGCCCGGUAAUUAGACUCCAGCCCAGCAACUGUGAGAGGAACAGCUGGAAGUGUUAUUUUUGCAGGUUAUUAAUUGACUCCAUAGGAGGAAAAAAAAAGAAAAAGAGCCCAGCAAACCCAGAGCCAGCAAGCCACAGCCCAUAGCCACAUGACAAGGUCUUAACGACAUAAAAAAGAUAAAAUAAAAGAGCGAGCCCA